GGGAAGGUAGCUCAGCGGGAGAGCACAUGACUGAAGAUCAUGGAGUCGAGGGUUCGACUCCCUCUCUUCCCA
rnacentral:tRNA from 1 species